GACGAACGCUGGCGGCGUGCCUAAUACAUGCAAGUAGAACGCUGAAGAGAGGAGCUUUCUCUUCUUGUAUGAGUUGCUAACGGGUGAGUAACGCGUAGGUAACCUGCCUGGUAGUGGGGGAUAACUAUUGGAAACGAUAGCUAAUACCGCAUAACAAUGGAUGACACAUGUCCAUUAUGUGAAAGGGGCAAUUGCUCCACUACAAGGUGGACCUGCGUUGUAUUAGCUAGUAGGUGAGGUAACGGCUCACCUAGGCGACGCUACAUAGCCGACCUGAGCGGGUGAUAGGCCAAACUGGGACGGGGACACGGCCCAGACUCCUACGGGAGGCAGCAGUAGGGAAUCUUCGGCAAUGGGGGCAACCCUGACCGAGCAACGCCGCGUGAGUGAAGAAGGUUGUCGGAUCGUAAAGCUCUGUUGUAAGUCAAGAACGAGUGUGAGAGUGGAAAGUUCACACUGUGACGGUAGCUGACCAGAAAGGGACGGCUAACUACGUG
rnacentral:rRNA from 1 species